UCAGUGGCUGAGGAUCUGCCUUCCAAUGCAGGGGAUUUGGGUUCAAUCCCUGGUUGGGGAACUAAGAUCUCACUUGCUUCCAGGCCACUAAGGCUGCGUGCCUUAGCUACUGAGCCCGUGAAUUCUAGAGCCCACGUGCCUCAGCUAGAGAAGCCUCCACGUGCUGCAUCUAGAGAAAGCCUUGUGCCUCAACAAAGACCCAGCACAGCCAAAAAAAAAGAAGAAAAAAGAACACAAAGUAUGUGCUGAUUACAGAGGAGGGCUCAACAAGGACGGAAAGUUGGAAGAUGGCACACACUUUACUGAUCAACAGCCAUUCCUUUUCUUUGAAAAUAGAACCGUGAUUUUUGUUCACCCUCCUCCUAGGAGCGUUUCCUUCAAGAAUGGCUGGGCUCUUCCCAACCAAGGAGUGAGGAGAUUACAAACAGGCCUGGUAGUUUCAUUCCACCACCAGUGGAGGCUUCCCUUGGCUCCCCUUGCCAUUCAGCUGUGACUCAGAGGAAUCUCCUUGGCUGUAAGAGGGCUUGUGACCUGCACAUCUGCUCGUCAUUUACCUGCUGUGGAUCUGCUGGGCUGGUGAAGAACUGGUUCCUGCUUCUUCUGCCUUAUUCUGUGAUACGUGGAGAGAAAUUACUCCUGUUAAUUUGUCUCCAUCGCUGGUUUUUCUCCUGUCAAAUUUGAUGCAUGAAAAACCUCCAGAAUCUACCAUUCCCAUGGCUCUUGCCAUCUUGUUUGCUGCUUCUUCCUGCGGUCAAUAUAUCCCAGGUGCAACCUAUGUACCUGCUAAUUUUUACUCCCAGCUACAAUAAGUCACUUGAAGUUUUAGUCUAUAAGACAAAUGAAAAAAGAGAAAGUUACUGAUGCAUGGGAUAGAGGAUGUUGUAUUGAUUGCUUUAGAACAAAGAAAACCUGCUUACAGGUAUCCCGGUAAGAGUGUGAUUGGCAGCUUCUGCAAAUACCCUGCAUCUCCAAAGAUAGAAACACAAUGAAAGAGAAAAAGCCUCAUGUAACCAUAACAGUGCCCAUUAUUAGUCUCUUAAAAUAACCCAGCACUUUACUAAGAAUUUUGUGUAUAAUGAUAUGGUAUUAUUAUUUUAAAGGUCUUUUUUAAGGUGGACCAUUUUUAAAGCCCUUAUUGAAUUUGUUGUAAUAUUGUUUUUGUUUUUUAUGUUCUGGUUUUUUGGCCAUGAGGCAUGUGGGAUCCUAGCUCCCCAACCAGGGAUUGAACCCACUCCCCCUGCAUUGGAAUGUGAAGUCUUAACCAGUGGACCACCAGUAGUCCUGAUAUAUUAAAGCAACUCUCUGGGAUAGAAAUAACUGUCCUCAAUUUACAGAUAAGGGAAUAUAAGACUUAGGGAAAUUGAAGACACUAAUAAGUAGCAAGCUGAAAUUCAUACUCAGAAAAGUCUGACUCCAGUACUACUUAUCCUUCCAACCAGCAUUUUCUUGCUUCUUAUUGGACUUACCUCUUCUAGAUCAGGUCCAUGUUUGUGCUUUACUCAGUGAGAUUUCUCCUUGGAGUCUGGAAAAUGGUGUUUGAUAUAUUUCAGGCUCUGUGGUAAUUCUGUAUGUUAAUGAUUAAAAUAUAUGAAUCAACUUACUAGCUGCCAUCUUUCUCUACAGCUGACAUUAGAAAAAUAAAGCUAUAAAAACAGGUUUCAAUUUUUAAAUUAAAAUCCACAUUUCUGUACUAUAGAAUACCUCACUGCUAUGCUUUAUUUGAAUAGAUGAAGGUAUUUUGAGUAUUUUCAAUUGAUACGGCAACUUUUACUUGAAAAUUCUACUAUCUCUAUGUCAUUCAUAGAUCAUAAAACCAUUUUGAUAAGCAGGAGAACUAAUAAAUGAUGCUCAUGCAAUUUGAAAUUUAAAAUGUUGAAUUCUCUGAUAUGUUAAAGUCUUUCUCUGUUUGUUAAGAGGGAAUAAAAUCAAACUGUGAUUUUUUCCAAGACAA